rnacentral:rRNA from 1 species
UUGUAUAAUGGGUCAGCGACUUAUAUUCUGUAGCAAGGUUAACCGAAUAGGGGAGCCGAAGGGAAACCGAGUCUUAACUGGGCGUUAAGUUGCAGGGUAUAGACCCGAAACCCGGUGAUCUAGCCAUGGGCAGGUUGAAGGUUGGGUAACACUAACUGGAGGACCGAACCGACUAAUGUUGAAAAAUUAGCGGAUGACUUGUGGCUGGGGGUGAAAGGCCAAUCAAACCGGGAGAUAGCUGGUUCUCCCCGAAAGCUAUUUAGGUAGCGCCUCGUGAAUUCAUCUCCGGGGGUAGAGCACUGUUUCGGCAAGGGGGUCAUCCCGACUUACCAACCCGAUGCAAACUGCGAAUACCGGAGAAUGUUAUCACGGGAGACACACGGCGGGUGCUAACGUCCGUCGUGAAGAGGGAAACAACCCAGACCGCCAGCUAAGGUCCCAAAGUCAUGGUUAAGUGGGAAACGAUGUGGGAAGGCCCAGACAGCCAGGAUGUUGGCUUAGAAGCAGCCAUCAUUUAAAGAAAGCGUAAUAGCUCACUGGUCGAGUCGGCCUGCGCGGAAGAUGUAACGGGGCUAAACCAUGCACCGAAGCUGCGGCAGCGACGCUUAUGCGUUGUUGGGUA